AUUGAACGCUGGCGGCAUGCUUUACACAUGCAAGUCGAACGGUAACAGGCCUUCGGGUGCUGACGAGUGGCGAACGGGUGAGUAAUGCAUCGGAACGUGCCCAGAGGUGGGGGAUAACGCAGCGAAAGCUGUGCUAAUACCGCAUGUGAUCUGAGGAUGAAAGCGGGGGACCAGGCAGCAAUGUUUGGCCUCGCGCCUUUGGAGCGGCCGAUGUCAGAUUAGGUAGUUGGUGGGGUAAAGGCCUACCAAGCCGACGAUCUGUAGCUGGUCUGAGAGGACGACCAGCCACACUGGGACUGAGACACGGCCCAGACUCCUACGGGAGGCAGCAGUGGGGAAUUUUGGACAAUGGGCGCAAGCCUGAUCCAGCAAUGCCGCGUACGGGAAGAAGGCCUUCGGGUUGUAAACCGCUUUUGUACGGAACGAAAAGGCUCUGGCUAAUACCUGGGGCUGAUGACGGUACCGGAAGAAUAAGCACCGGCUAACUACGUG
rnacentral:rRNA from 1 species